rnacentral:rRNA from 1 species
UACGUAGGGUGUAAGCGUUGUCCGGAAUUAUUGGGCGUAAAGAGCUCGUAGGCGGUUUGUCGCGUUGUUCGUGAAAACUCACAGCUCAACUGUGGGCGUGCGGGCGAUACGGGCAGACUGGAGUACUGCAGGGGAGACUGGAAUUCCUGGUGUAGCGGUGAAAUGCGUAGAUAUCUGGAGGAACACCGGUGGCGAAGGCGGCAUCCUGGACCGGCAUUGACGCUGAGGAGCGAAAGCCAGGGGAGCAAACGGG